rnacentral:rRNA from 1 species
CAGUAGCCACGGUAAUACGGAGGGUGCAAGCGUUAAUCGGAAUUACUGGGCGUAAAGCGUGCGUAGGUGGUGGUUUAAGUCCGUUGUGAAAGCCCUGGGCUCAACCUGGGAAUUGCAGUGGAUACUGGGUCACUAGAGUGUGGUAGAGGAUAGUGGAAUUUCCGGUGUAGCAGUGAAAUGCGUAGAGAUCGGAAGGAACAUCUGUGGCGAAGGCGACUAUCUGGGCCAACACUGACACUGAGGCACGAAAGCGUGGGGAGCAAACAGGAUUAGAUACCCCAGUAGUCCCUGUCUCUUAUAC